UACGUAGGUGGCAAGCGUUGCCCCGGAUUUAUUGGGUUUAAAGGGUGCGUAGGCGGUCUUGUAAGUCAGUGGUGAAAUACGGCAGCUCAACUGUCGAGGUGCCAUUGAUACUGUAGGACUUGAGUACAGACGAGGUAGGCGGAAUUGACGGUGUAGCGGUGAAAUGCUUAGAUAUCGUCAAGAACACCGAUAGCGAAGGCAGCUUACUAGGCUGUAACUGACGCUGAGGCACGAAAGUGUGGGGAUCAAACAGG
rnacentral:rRNA from 1 species